GACGAACGCUGGCGGCGUGCCUAAUACAUGCAAGUAGAACGCUGAAGGAGGAGCUUGCUCUUCUGGAUGAGUUGCGAACGGGUGAGUAACGCGUAGGUAACCUGCCUGGUAGCGGGGGAUAACUAUUGGAAACGAUAGCUAAUACCGCAUAAUAGUAGAUGUUGCAUGAUAUUUACUUAAAAGGUGCAAUUGCACCACUACCAGAUGGACCUGCGUUGUAUUAGCUAGUUGGUGGGGUAACGGCUCACCAAGGCGACGAUACAUAGCCGACCUGAGAGGGUGAUCGGCCACACUGGGACUGAGACACGGCCCAGACUCCUACGGGAGGCAGCAGUAGGGAAGCUUCGGCAAUGGACGAAAGUCUGACCGAGCAACGCCGCGUGAGUGAAGAAGGUUUUCGGAUCGUAAAGCUCUGUUGUAAGAGAAGAACGAGUGUGAGAGUGGAAAGUUCACACUGUGACGGUAUCUUACCAGAAAGGGACGGCUAACUACGUG
rnacentral:rRNA from 1 species